AUGGACCUUCCAUCGACUAUCCAAGCUCCAAGUGGACCCAUGACAAGAGCAAGAGCUCGUGCUAUUCAAUCCAAGGUGACAUCACUCCUACUUGAGUUCCCCUUUUCUUCCAGUGAGACAUGGCUACUGCCUAAGUCCGAGACGCUAUGCGUGAUCAGGUACAACGCUCAAGCCACGGAGCCAGGAGCUGCAGAAGAAACGACAGGCGUCAACUCUCUGGACAGCCCGGAACCUUCGGUCAUAGCCUGGAACUUCCGGCCCCCGGGACGUCCGGCCUACCCGGAGCUUCCGGCCUCCGACGACAUCGACCAGCCCGGGCGUGCCAACUCUCUCGUUAGCCAGGAACCUGCGCGGAACCCAUCCCGGAGCUUCCGGCCCCCGGAACCUCUGGCCCGCCCGGACCUUCCGGCCCCCGGACGCCAGCCCAGCUCCACCCGCGUCAACUCUCUGGUUAGGCCGGACCCUGCCCGGACCCUUCGUCACCCGGAACUUCCGGCCUUGCCUGCGCGCAGACACUUGGGCCGAGGCCCGUGUACCCUUUUGCCCCGUAAACUAUAUAUACUCUUCUCCUACCUACGUUUUAGGGUUAGCAUUAGUUUAACUCAUAUUUUGUGUGAGAGCCUUGCUCAUCCACUUGGUUACUUCUCCUCGGAGCUCACGACCUCUUCGGAGAAGAUCCCCCAAGCGGAUUCAAGACCCCUUCAAGGGAAGACAAUCAAGACCUCCUCACGGAGAAGAACGGUUCCCUUUGUAUCCUCCCCUUGUUGA
rnacentral:rRNA from 1 species